rnacentral:lncRNA from 1 species
GACUUUGGGCUUUCUUUCUCAGUACAGUGGUCUCUGGCUAUCCUACUUUUCCCAAAGCAAAUAGCUUUUGCUUGUGGUAGAAAACAAAAGUGGCCAACCUUUUUUUAAAAGAAUAAAAAAUAAAAAAAUAAGACAUUAUGUACUUUUGAUAAACCAAGUUGUAAGCCAACCCAUUUUCAACAUCCUGAAAUGGAGCACUCACGGUCUCUAAUUAAGAGAUCAGCAGGCAUGCAGAGAAGGUGGUCAUCAUGGAGGCAAGCUUUCCCAAUGGCCACUCCUCAGAUAGCCAUCUCUUGAGAGCAGGACUGUUAACUUGUAGGUUCUGACCUGUACUUUGUCCAUCCAGGCUUACAAAGGCUACAAUCUGUAAUUGCCUUGGGAAAAGAUCUUUAAUGAUCAAUAAAUAAUUGAAGGAAAGUGUGUUCUGGUCCUUAGAACUUCUUCAG